rnacentral:misc_RNA from 1 species
UACUUCUUUACCUUCUCUCUUAUUUCUCCACUCUUUUCUUCUUCCCUCUUUGGUUACCGAUUGGUGAUAUGUAUUCUAGAAGCAAUCGUGACAGAAAACUGAGCUUGAGAUUAUGAGCCUUUUGGUGUAUUUGGUGCUAGAGCUCAUGGAUUUGUUAUAGAUGGUAUGGCUUGGUCCUGCAUGUUCCCCUUUGAAGUCAAGGCUGUCAAACUCGAGAUCGGCCCUCUCACCAUCUUAACAUCGGCAAUAAUUAAUGUGGAUUCUUCUUUCAUCUCACCAUCGAUUCUUGUUACUGUGCAUUUUUAUUUUGGGUUUUGUUAGAUUUGCUUCAGGGAUUUUGUAUAUAAUCUAUGUGUUUUGGGUUUUGUUGGGUUAAGCUGAAUUUGGGAUUUUAUAUAUUUGUGUAUUUUGCAUUUUGUUGGGUUAAGCUAAAUCUGGGAUUUUUUUAAUUAAAACUGGAGUUUGCUUUUGUUAAUCUGGCAUCUG